rnacentral:lncRNA from 1 species
UCCUUCCGCUCGUCGAUCAAUUUCGGGUGAUCUUCUUGUAUUUCCUGUUGUUCAUUUUUGCAUCCCCGAAUUCUUUUACGCAAUUGCUUACACUUAAUUUUCACUUCAGCCUUUUCAUCAAUAAGCCUGUGACCUUAAAUGAACCCCGGAUGACCCAAACCAAUGUGAUUGUCUCCAACCAACCCGAGUAGUGUGGCACACAUCCUGUAUGAUACCGGUCUACCUCAAUAGUUUCUCUCUCCAAGACGAGUUUGCAAUGCCACAUGUGUUGAAC